rnacentral:rRNA from 1 species
ACGGGGUGCACCUCGUGCGAAAACUUCGCAAUGUGGGAAACCACGACGAGGGGAUUCCAAGUGCCAAUGCUUUGCAUUGGCUGUUCUCCUGUCUAAAAAACAGGAGCAGUAAGGGCCGGGUAAGACGGGUGCCAGCCGCCGCGGUAAUACCCGCGGCCCAAGUGGUGUUCGAUAUUAUUGAGCUUAAAGCGUCCGUAGCCUGUCCUGUAAAUCUUCGGGUAAAUCGUGCAGCUUAACUGUUCGAAUUCCGAGGAGACUGCAGGACUUGGGACCGGGAGAAGUCGGAGGUACCUCUGGGGUAGGGGUAAAAUCCUGUAAUCCCAGAGGGACCACCAGUGGCGAAGGCGUCCGACCAGAACGGAUCCGACGGUGAGGGACGAAGCCCUGGGGCGCAAACGGGAUUAGAUACCCCGGUAGUCCAGGGUGUAAACGCUGCGGGCUUGGUGUCGGGGGUCCUACGUGGGCGCCCGGUGCCGGAGAGAAAUUGUUAAGCCUGCCGCUUGGGGAGUACGGUCGCAAGACUGAAACUUAAAAGGAAUUGGCGGGGGGAGCACCGCCAUCGGGGAG